rfam:Aedes aegypti strain Liverpool supercont1.156 genomic scaffold, whole genome shotgun sequence.
CCUCUCAUGGCGUAGUGGUAACGCGCCCCAACUAGAGGUCGGGGAGUCGUGAGUUCGAUUCUCACUGAGAAGA